ensembl:miRNA microRNA 1306
CUCCCCUUGGAGCCACCUGAUGAUUUUAGCCUAGACCAGUGCAGAGCACCUCCACCACCUCCCCUGCAAACGUCCAGUGACGCAGAGGUAAUGGACGUUAGCUCUGGUGG